CUUAUGUGACUUUGGCCAAAUC
rnacentral:miRNA from 1 species